UUGCACUAGUUCCGCAGUGCAACUGAAGAGAACAGACCACUUUCUAUUUCUCCAAGCGCACAUGGUACACCGGUAAGAAAUGUAGAAACACGUAGAAGCAGAUGAGAAAAAUUUCGUGGAAUAAUUAUGAAUUAAUGACUAGAGCUGUGUCCUGGAUUAUAGCAUUGACUUAUGGAUUAAAUACCAGACUCUGUAUUCUUCAUCAUAGCAAACACUAGUUAUAAAGGAUGUCCCAAAAUUCACGCAAGAUUUGAAUUUUGCGCCAUUUGUGCGGUAAAGUGUUGCCAAUGA